CAUCCAGACUACUUCUAACGGGCCAAUCAGUAGUUUUCCAUCUGCCAAACAGUGACACCGUCGUCGUAGGUUUUAGAACUGAACACCCUAUGGACAGUUAUCAAUUACACAGUCUCUACGAAGGAAAACAAAUCCUGAAAAGAGAGUUGAAACCAUUUCAAUGGACAUCACAGUGGCUGCCCCUUCACAUAAGAACCAAGGUAAUAAACGGGACCAACCUGGAGGAUCCACAAGGACGUGAUAAGAGAUAUGUCUCCUUAUCAAGUACAGAAGAGGUUCAUUGGCAAAUGAUGACGUUACCUCUCAAAGAUCAUGAGCUGAAGAAGGCCACUCCUGGGGAAGAAGUUUUCCUUGACAUUCCCGAGGAAGACGAUGUGGGUGGCUUUCUGGAACAAACUUGGCAGAGGAAUUCAUAAUUGAACUCAGGUUGCUCAAAGAGCAGGAAAAAUACCGAUAUUUCAACAUAUAUGCAUCAAAAAGAUUGGUCA